rnacentral:rRNA from 1 species
UACGAAGGGGGCUAGCGUUGCUCGGAAUCACUGGGCGUAAAGCGCACGUAGGCGGCUUUCUAAGUCAGGGGUGAAAUCCUGGAGCUCAACUCCAGAACUGCCUUUGAUACUGGAGAGCUUGAGUCCGGGAGAGGUGAGUGGAACUCCGAGUGUAGAGGUGAAAUUCGUAGAUAUUCGGAAGAACACCGGUGGCGAAGGCGACAUCCUGGACCGGCAUUGACGCUGAGG